rnacentral:guide_RNA from 1 species
AAUAAAUAACAGUGCAAAUUAUCGUAACUAGUUUUGUGAGAAUAAU